CAUGCAGUUUGUAAAACCUUUUCUCUAGAGAAGCCACUGAUAGUGGUGACGAUGCUGAGGAUGAUGAUGAUGAGGAGGAGGAUGCUGAAGCUGGAGACUGUCCCUCCAUACUCUCAUGGUAUAAUCGCCCUCUAUAUGCCACAAGGUCAGCAUAAUACACCGGUGGGACCAACGAUACCGGUUUAGUACACCUUGCAAACGUGAAGCACAAGUCAUAUAUGAGCUUCUGCAAUUGGUCAGAAGUAAACCAGUGUUCAUCCCAAAGAACAUGGUAGCGUGUGGGUUUGCUUGUUCCAAGGGCUCCAUAAUGACUGCAGAGAUAGAAGUCAAACUGAAAUGGGUGCACGAUUAUUGUGUCCACCACAGUUCCCGGUAAUACGUUGCCUGUGGAACUACCAUCCCUCAUACUCUCCGGAAAGAGACGAGUAUGGUGCCGUUUCUGGGCAACAAUUAGUGUGAUGGUUGGAUAGUAUUUUAUACCUCCUAAAGCCCUUUUCAGAUCUAGUAACUCUUCAUUGCGAACCAUAUCAAACUGGCCCUCACUGACUCCAUCACGGAAGACAACAAUUUUGUCCGGCUUGACUUUAUUCAAUCGCUCAUAAGUUUCAACAAGCUCCAGACACAUGUCUCCAAAAUUCAAUAUCUUCUCAGUGCGAUGGUCCUGGGGUCGGACUCGUGCAGCAUAACGAUUCGCGGCAGGCCAGUUUACAGUGGCAACAACAGCUGCAAUUGAUGGACUUGUCGUGUUCCGCGCAGCAGGAUGAUUCACAUCAGCCCCCACAAACAUAACAUGGCCUGCAACCCCAAAGAGGGGAAACCGAUCACUUAGCUCUACAUUACUGCCUCCAAGCUUGGCAUUGAUCUUAAGGGCAAGAUUUGAAAGAUACUGGUCAUUUGCUUUGUUAGCCAUAUUUGACAAGCAGCACUGCGUCACUAUACCAAUUUGAGUCUCAGAGAUCCACUUCAGAUACUUGUAACCAGGAUCUUUUCGAGCCAUUACACAAACAAGUAAUUGUAAAUGGCCUUUGCUUUUUUUGUAUGCCUGUUCAUUAAUGCUUUCAAGCAGCUGACGAAGCAUCUAAACACUAGUGAAUGGUCUCAUGGAAAUGGCUUCGUACAAAACAGGCUCUCCCAUUAUGAUUCCCAGUUUGUUGCACUUUGUGAUGAGCUUUGGGAUGAAUUGAGUAGGAUCCAGACAGAAUCGAUCAUAACUGCUGAAGUCAAGUACAGCCCAGUGACUGAUUGGUUUUCCUUCCACUAGAGACUUCCCAACAAGAUUCCAAUGGCAUUUUUCUCGGUCAACUGUUACCUUAGUCAUCCUGCCAUCAGAAGAAGGACCCAACUUCAACUCAGGUGGGACAAUGACACGCCCUAUUACUGAUGUCAUAUUCAUGUUGACUUCAAUUCCAAAAUUCUCAAUGAUGCCACCACUGCCAAUAACUAAAGAAUCAGGAUCAUAAUUAAUAAUGCAGUUUUUUAUGUAGAAUUAAGUUAAUCAAAAUGGUAAAACUAUCUUGUUGGGAUCUGUACGUGUGCAUGCCACAGAGAUCUGUACACUUCAUUAAAUUAAGGUAACACCGCUAUAUGCGAAAAAAUUCCACUAUCACCAGCAUGUUCAUAAAUGAUAUUAGAGCAGAACUGUAGUUCUCAUCCUUCAGAGGAACCAACUGCCUGCUGACUAAAAUCAUACACACUAAUUGUGUUCCAUGAGAGGAAGAAUGACUUCAAGAAAAAUCAAGUAAACAACAGUGGAAGUUUGUUCACAUCUAACUUUACUAACCAAAAGAAAGGACACAAAAUAGCUUACCCACAAGGUCCAUCACCAGAUUGUACCAUGCCACAUAUCAUGUUCUCUCUAACCUUUGGUGAAGCCAAUGACAUGUCCUUCAGCUUGAUAGCUGCAUUUCUGUCCAAAUUCUCCUUUGGAUACCUUUGCCCCUCAACUAAGACACAGAACUCCAGCGGUGUAUAGUUCUUCCUACCAUUUUUCCCCAAAUCCAAGCAGGGAAUGUUUUUGUACUGGAUCUCCUGGUAUUUUUCCCUGAAAUAAUCAAGCAGCCUAACUUUCUUAGGUGUACACUGGCCAUCUAUGCCUGCAGCAUCAAAUGUAAUGUCUCCUGCAUUCUUAUCAGUCAGCCCCUUGAUGAUGUACUUUUGCUUGGUUCUAAGGUGUGUCACGGUAACUUUCAAUCCCAUCAAUACAUCCACAACCUCUCUCCUAAACCUGUUGAGAUUGUUUAAAUCAAAGCCCCUGAUCUGCUCUUGCAGAAAAUCUAUAACGGGCAGGCGCUUAUAAAAUGCCAAGACUGAGUAGUCAAGACACAAGGCAGGACCCUGGAAAGUCAUCCUUGAGCUUUGCUGAAACCCUCUAAAUGCAGCAAUACCAUGUCCAAGGUCAUCGUUUUGAUUUGAUGUAGCGGGGUAAAAGCUUCGCCCAACAGAAACCAAGCACCUAGUUGGAUUUUCUUUCAUCACCAAAUCCAUACCCUGCAAUAUAUCACGAGGGAUAGACAAGAGUUGGCCACUACAGUACUCCUUCAACUUGCAAAGCUUGAGCUCAUUUACCAAAUUUAUGGUAAAUAUGUAUGAACUGAACCGCGUGCCUUCUUCCUCAGAAACCUCCACCUUAAAUGAUCCGGUGGGCAAUGGCACUGCACUGAAGAUGUUCUUUCCAUCAUCACAUGCGGUACUUGACAAGGGAAAAUCCGAAGGAUUAUCAUAGGAUAACUUCUUCCUGAUUGCAGAGAGUUCAGACUUCGACAUUUUCACAGGACGGCCAUUUUUAGCAGGCUUCUCUGGCUUGACAUCAACAUCGUAGUGCCUUAUAAUACUCUCAGGAUUGUACGAGAGAUUAAAAUGAUUAGCACGAAGCCUAGUAGUUCGGAUAGAUUUUGUGCCUCCAUUAUCAGGCCGUCUCACAGGGAGUUUUUUGUCUGCUUCAUCCAAAGAAGGCGAAGAAAGUGCCUGUUUCGAAAUUUCCAGAGAUUGCAUUCUAGGAACAAGAGUAUCUGUGAAGAAAAAAGAACAAACAAAAGGUGUUAUUACCAAGCCUCAUUUUUUAUGUAAAUCCAAAUGGCUAGACCAACGGUAGCUAAAAAACUGACAUUUAGGAAUAAAAAUGCAACGGCUUCAUUCACAGCCUAUAUGAUAUGAUCAGUAGUGCAAAUUUCAAUUGUAUCUCAAAAAGGACCCAGAAUGAAGAAGAAAAAAAAAUUACCGGGAGUAGGAGAGUUGAUCGGGGCUGGAGAUACAGCAGGAGAGGCUGCUCUGGUGGGAGCGGGACUAUUCCAUGGAGAAGGCCUCCCUUGCUGGCCCGAACUCUCAUUCGGUUGUUGUAUACUGCUGCUGCUGCAGCGGUUGUUGUUGAUGGUGGUACUGGGACCCACCACCACCAUGACCGCCAUAACCACCUCUUCCUCCUCCACUUCCUCUGCCGUAGCCACCAUAAUCACCUCUUUCACCACCAUCACUGCUGCCUCUACGUCUUCCUCUGUUUCCACCACCACCUCUUUCCAUUGGAGAAAUCGGGAGCAAACUCAAAAACGAUCGAAGAGAAAACUUGCCUCAAAUUCGUACUCUCUCAAUUCACAAAAAUCAGAAAUGAGUCUGUGAUCAAGAUGAGAAGUUGGUUCCUUAUAAAGGGUGUUGGGUGGAAUGACGAUCUUGUCCCUGCGCGAUUGCCUUAGUCCCGAAGUGCCUUAGUCACGAAGAAAUCAACCAAAAAGGAGACGCGGGAGUGGGAGCGAUUGGAAAAUGGUUUUAGAUUUUUGGUGGAAAGUCCAGAAGCUUCCAUGGAACAGAGAGGAAUUUGCUUCUUCUUUCUUUUUCGCCCAAGGGUUGCAUGAGGAACUGUAUUUGAUAACAUUCUCCUGUUUCUCGUUUCGCUUAUAUUCGCUCACUCUGUCCCCGCCCUUUUUUUUUUCUUUUUUUUUUUUUGAUAAUGCUUCCAAGUUCCCUCCUUUAAAAAUACAAAAGAAAGGUUCCCUCCUUGCCUAGCUCAACCACCACCACGUGUCUUUUUUAAUUCUCAAUUCUUUUUAAUUUCUUACCCAAGUUAAAAUUUAAAUUCUUUUGCGACCCAUUGCAACUCCUUAUAAUCCCCCUCCAGCCAAAACAAUAUGGUAAACAAUGAACUCUGGUAAACAUAACCUUUUUAUGAUUUUAUUUUUUUUUCGUUUUUUUUUUUGUUUUUUUUGUUUUGCUAAAGAUAAGAAGGGAGGAAAAAAUUCACACAUAGUUGUGGGAACCUAAUUAAAUCAAACCCUAGGUCAAAUAAUUCCUACCAUUUGGGGAUUAUUUGACCCAAUUGGGAAUCAAUCAACCUAAUUGGGAGUUACUCAAUUUAAUUGGGAAUUACCCAAUUAAAUUGAGCGUUACCUAAUUAGGUUGAGAUUUGAUUUGGUUAAUUACCACGAUCCCCAAUUAAAUGAGAAGAUACCUAAUUGAAUCGGGAUUUGAUUUGAUACCUACCACAAUUAGGGAUUUGAUUUACCCUAAUAAAUCAAAUCCCUAAUUAAUCAAAUCAAUUCCAAAAAGGGGAGGAAUAAUUCCCUUCCAUCUACGGAAUUAUUCCUCUGAAACCCUAGCCUCCGAGACUACUAUAAAAGCAUAGCCAUACACAAUGGUUGAGGUACGUCAGAAUUACUACUAAAAUCUCUGCAGAAAAUUCCUCUCAAACCCUAGCCACCUCCUCUCUUUCUCUCUUUUACAUAAGGCUCCGGCCGCCCGAUUUAUAUUAUAAACACAUCCCGUACCCUAUUUUAGCUAUUGUUUCUCUAAAGAUCGAUUGAACUGACUUAGGCAUCGGAGGGCCUUUGGCCAACACCCCCCGGGUGUGGUCUUUUACUCCGAUCUGUUUUGCAGGGAGAAAGAGAGGCGGAGAAGACGAAGGAAUCUUGGCGAAUAUUCUCCCGUGAGAUUAUUUGCACAAACAAUAGUAAUAUGAAAGUUUGAACUCAUGAUCACUUGAGAGCACAACAAAGAAGCUAUUCAACUAACACCUUAUGGAUUCUUAGAACAAGCAAAUUUUGAGUGACAAGAGAUAGUAAAACACAUAAUGAAAAUACAUCAACAGAUUUCUGAACACAAAAUUAGAAUAGUCUCAUUAUGACCACAAGUGACAAUCACGGUCAAGAACAAAAAGAUACAUCCCUUCAUCACCAAUUUUGAGAUUAAAAAACACUAUUAAUUUGUAAUUAAGACAUUACUAGAUAAGGACGAGUUCCUCCUUAAAUUCACACAUAAGAAAUAAACACCCAUUAGAUUCACGCACAAACUCCUUUUGAGGAGGUUGGAGUUGCCCCCGGGAUUGCCAAGUUACAAAACCACAUCCUUCAUUUUCCACAAAAGAGAGAUCAGGGAUCAUGCUUCGACCUUCAUACGAAAAACAUUAUGUUUUCCAGGUCAGCAUGCAGUUUGUAAAACCUUUCCUCUAGAAAAGCCACUGAUAGUGGUGAUGAUGCUGACGAUGACGAUGAUGAUGAGGAGGAUGCUGAAGCUGGAGACUGUCCCUCCAUACUCUCAUGGUAUAAUCGCCCUCUAUAUGCCACAAGGUCAGCAUAGUACACCGGUGGGACCAACGAAACCGGUUUAGUACACCUUGCAAACGUGAAGCACAAGUCAUAUAUGAGCUUCUGCAAUUGGUCAGAAGUAAACCUGUGUUCAUCCCAAAGAACAUGGUAGUGUGUGGGUUUGCUUGUUC
rnacentral:lncRNA from 1 species